GACGAACGCUGGCGGCGUGCUUAACACAUGCAAGUCGAACGGAAAGGCCCUGCUUUUGUGGGGUGCUCGAGUGGCGAACGGGUGAGUAACACGUGAGUAACCUGCCCUUGACUUUGGGAUAACUUCAGGAAACUGGGGCUAAUACCGGAUAGGAGCUCCUGCUGCAUGGUGGGGGUUGGAAAGUUUCGGCGGUUGGGGAUGGACUCGCGGCUUAUCAGCUUGUUGGUGGGGUAGUGGCUUACCAAGGCUUUGACGGGUAGCCGGCCUGAGAGGGUGACCGGCCACAUUGGGACUGAGAUACGGACCAGACUCCUACGGGAGGCAGCAGUGGGGAAUCUUGCACAAUGGGCGGAAGCCUGAUGCAGCGACGCCGCGUGCGGGAUGACGGCCUUCGGGUUGUAAACCGCUUUCGCCUGUGACGAAGCGUGAGUGACGGUAAUGGGUAAAGAAGCACCGGCUAACUACGUG
rnacentral:rRNA from 1 species